rnacentral:rRNA from 1 species
UACAGAGGUGGCAAGCGUUGUUCGGAAUUACUGGGCGUAAAGGGCGCGUAGGCGGCCCGCUAAGUCGAACGUGAAAUCCCCGAGCUCAACUCGGGAACUGCGUCCGAUACUGGCGGGCUUGAAUCCGGGAGAGGGAUGCGGAAUUCCAGGUGUAGCGGUGAAAUGCGUAGAUAUCUGGAGGAACACCGGUGGCGAAGGCGGCAUCCUGGGCCGGAUGACGCUGAGGAGCGAAAGC